GCCGGGAUAGCUCAGUUGAUAGAACAAAUGACUGAAAAUCCGCGUGUGACCGGUAUAAAUA
rnacentral:tRNA from 1 species